rnacentral:rRNA from 1 species
AGGACGAACGCUGGCGGCGUGCUUAACACAUGCAAGUCGAGCGGAAAGGCCUUUCGGGGUACUCGAGCGGCGAACGGGUGAGUAACACGUGAGUAAUCUGCCCAUCGCUUCAGGAUAGCCAUCGGAAACGGUGAUUAAUACUGGAUAUGACAUUCCUUCGCAUGUUGGGGUGUGGAAAGUUUUUUCGGCGGUGGAUGUGCUCGCGGCCUAUCAGCUUGUUGGUGGGGUAAUGGCCUACCAAGGCUUUGACGGGUAGCCGGCCUGAGAGGGUGACCGGCCACACUGGGACUGAGACACGGCCCAGACUCCUACGGGAGCAGCAGUGGGG